UCGGUUCGGAGCCACCGCUGGACGAAAAGCCCCGCUGAUGAACGGUCGGGGGAGGAUGGUGGGCUGACGCCCGGGGAGAUGGGAAGUCAGCCCUGCCGGCUCAGGGGGCUGAACGCGCACCCCGGGCCUGGAGGACCCCGCUACCGGGGCGCCCUUCCCUCUGCGGCCGGGCCGCGCCGCACCCCGGUCCUGCUGUGAGUCCCUGGGGCGUUCCCGGAGUUUCCACCCCGCCGCUGUCACGUUAGAUGAGCAGGGAUGGGGUCUCCACAGGAUGGCACCUCUGCAGCUAAGGCUACCAGAAAGAAAAGGUUUUGUCUGACCACCCCGGCUUCUUGGAAACCGGCAAUCAAAGAUUCUGCGGCCGAUGUGUAGCUCCGCGAUCAGGGCAGGUGGCCCUUGCCAGGCCUGCGUGGGGCCUCGGACGAGGAGAAGGCUCCCGCGGAGGCUUUGUAUUCUCCAUGCGGCAGGACGGCAGAGAGCCCUCGCUACUCCCAGCCCCCAGGCCACAGCCGCCCAAGGCCGCCCGCGCUGGACCUCUGCAGGCCACUCGCCACUCCCGGGGACCUCCCCGCCCUCCUCCAGCCCUGGCGCUCUGGAAUUCCCGGGAAUCUCUCCUCCCCGACCAUGACUUUGCCGGCUGUCACAGGAACAUUCUUCCUGUUGCUCACACAGCAGAAAUACUAGGUGUGCUAGGAGAGAUGGGUCCCAGGUCAUGCUGGUUUUUUUUCCCUUUUCUUUUUAAAUCUUGUUAUUGUGAAAUUUUAGACGUAUAGAAGAGCUAGAAAAAUACUGCGGAGUUUUCCUGUAGAGCCGUCUCCCCCACGACCCCCAAGUACCGGCUUAGGUAGCCAUGAUGUGUCUAUUAAAACCAAGACAUUAACCCGAGUACAACAAUAUUAACUGAACUACAGGCUCCAGGUGGGUUCCCACUGGCCCCCACGUCCUUGCCCUCUCCUAGGGCCCGCAGGG
ensembl:lincRNA uncharacterized LOC102014582